rnacentral:lncRNA from 1 species
GUGACGGACUCAUUUGGUGCUUACCAACGGUGCAAAGACAUGAACUCCGUCGCUCGCUGUUGUCUUUCUCUACUAUUUAUAAUAGUAGUACAAUGUAAACCAUCUUGCCGUCCCUAUCAGAAGGAUGGUCUCACACACUACGUGUUGUUAGACCCAGAGGGGGUUUUGAAUGCCCCACCCACCGACUGUGAUGUUUCAUACGAACUUGAAAACGGCACUAAUAUCGCCAACCUGAACGGAAACAAACUCCCUUACGUGAGAAAUGAUACCAUCAAUGGACUCACAACCACGAUGUGUAUUCCAUAUAUUGACAUCACGUGCGCCUGCAACUCAGAGGGGAUUCUAUAUGAAGUACACUGUACCAUCAGCUGUAGUGAAACAACUCCCUCCAUUGUGGAUCAAAGCAUCAAACCCACUCCCUCCACUGUGGAUCAAAGAAACCAUCUCAUUCUCUUGAUUUGCUUGAUCAUUGGACUUGUGGUGGUGGUGGCCAUUGCUGCCAUUGUGUGUUGAUGCAUGGGAACGGAAAUCAGGUCCUGCAUGUUAAGACUCUUUACGUGUGUGAGGACAACCAAUGAGGAACCCCAAGCAAACGACAUUGAGCGUGGAGAAGUGAAUUAGUAAUUAGUAUUUCUAAAAUACUUUGGCCCAUUUAAAAAAAAACCCAAAACAUUUCAAAUGGCUUAUUUUUAGAUACAAUACUGUACAUGCAUCUAUAGUAAUAUAUAGACUUAUCACCCCACACAGUGCUCUAAGUGAUUCUCAUGAAAUCUUAGCACCUUUUAGAACACAUUUUCCAAAAAAAUUUCAAAAUAAUCUAAUUACCGCAAUGGUCUCAAAACGUCAAGAUCACUAGAAAAAAAAUAAAAUAAAAAUUUUCAAAUUUUUAAAGUUUGAU